GGGAAGGUGGCUCAGUGGUAGAGCGCUUGCCUUGAAUGCAUGAGGCCCUGGGCU
rnacentral:tRNA from 1 species